GGUCGGAUGGUGUAGUCGGUUAUCACGGUUGCUUUACACGCAACAGGUCUCGAGUUCGAUCCUCGGUCGGAUCA
rnacentral:ncRNA from 13 species